rnacentral:lncRNA from 1 species
GUCACUACUGUACACUAAUAGACUAUUAAUUAUAGUGAUUGGCCAUACUAUUUUCAAAGUAUGAUAAUAUAUGGAUAUUUUUAUCAUUGGUAGGCCAGUUUGAAUAUAAGCAAUGAGUCUUUUUGUCACUGCUGGACUAAUUCUUAUGCAAUAUAAGUGAUGAGUGGUAUUUUCCAGUUCCAAUCUCCUACUUUCAAACUUGCCUGUCAGCAAAAAACUCAUUGCUUACAUUGGCUGGCUAAAAAAUAUCCAUUCCUUACUCUGAAAGUGAAAACAAAAAUAGACAAGCUUAAAGCAAGAAAUAUUAAACUUUAUAAAAUUUUGUUCAGAAGUGCUUUCAGCCUUCAGGCUACCAUGCCCUGAUAGAACUGCUGCCUAUUGUCCAUGACUGCUUAUUUGUCUGGAUAAGCCAGCUUAUAUCACAGCUAACCACCAUAUCUGAAUGUUAUUCCCCCAAUCCACAACUUGAAGAUGUACCUGGUAGCAUUUAGUUGGCACCCAAAAAAAAUUGAAAUAUAAAUAAAUAUAUAUAAAUAAACAGUAUAUAUAAAAUUUUAGUA